UUACGAAAUUAAAAUUUUAUUUUAUAGUGAAAUUAUAAUGUUUUAUUUAUAAACUACGAAAAUAGAAAU
rnacentral:tRNA from 1 species